rnacentral:rRNA from 1 species
UACAGAGGGUGCUAGCGUUAAUCGGAUUUACUGGGCGUAAAGCGUGUGUAGGCGGUUUGUUAAGUCGGGUGUGAAAUCCCUGGGCUCAACCUGGGAAUUGCAUUCGAUACUGGCAAGCUAGAGUACGGUAGAGGGCGGCGGAAUUCCGGGUGUAGCGGUGAAAUGCGUAGAUAUCCGGAGGAACACCGAUGGCGAAGGCAACCGCCUGGGCCUGUACUGACGCUGAGGCACGAAAGCCAGGGGAGCAAACGGG